rnacentral:rRNA from 1 species
CAGUAGCCGCGGGAAUACGUAGGGUGCAAGCGUUAAUCGGAAUUACUGGGCGUAAAGCGUGCGCAGGCGGUUUUGUAAGACAGAGGUGAAAUCCCCGGGCUCAACCUGGGAACUGCCUUUGUGACUGCAAGGCUAGAGUACGGCAGAGGGGGAUGGAAUUCCGCGUGGAGCGGUGAAAUGCGUUGAGAUCGGAAAGAACACCAACGGCGAAAGCACUCUGCUGGGCCGACACUGACACUGAGAGACGAAAGCUAGGGGAGCAAAUGGGAUUAGAGACCCGCGUAGUCCCUGUCUCUUAUAU